rnacentral:rRNA from 1 species
CCCUUAGAUGUUCUGGGCUGCACACGUGCUACACUGGCAGGUUCAGCGAGCUUCAUGCCCUGAUCUGAAAGGAAUGGGAAAUCUUUUCAAAACCUGCCGUGCUUGGGAUAGAUGUUUGCAAUUAUUCAUCUUCAACGAGGAUUGCCUUGUAAGCGCACGUCAUCAGCGUGCAUUGAAUACGACCCUGUAUUCUGUACACAUCGCCCGUCGCUCCUACCGAUUGAAGUUUUCGGUGAGUUGACAGGAGGAUUUUUUUGAAACUGGUUCGCCAGUGGAUUUUAGAUCCAAAUGCCAACGAAUCGAUGGCUUUAGAGGAAGGAGAAGUCGUAACA